GCGGCGUGCCUAAUACAUGCAAGUCGAACGAGUUCUGAUUAUUGAAAGGUGCUUGCAUCUUGAUUUAAUUUUGAACGAGUGGCGGACGGGUGAGUAACACGUGGGUAACCUGCCCUUAAGUGGGGGAUAACAUUUGGAAACAGAUGCUAAUACCGCAUAAAUCCAAGAACCGCAUGGUUCUUGGCUGAAAGAUGGCGUAAGCUAUCGCUUUUGGAUGGACCCGCGGCGUAUUAGCUAGUUGGUGAGGUAACGGCUCACCAAGGCAAUGAUACGUAGCCGAACUGAGAGGUUGAUCGGCCACAUUGGGACUGAGACACGGCCCAAACUCCUACGGGAGGCAGCAGUAGGGAAUCUUCCACAAUGGACGCAAGUCUGAUGGAGCAACGCCGCGUGAGUGAAGAAGGCUUUCGGGUCGUAAAACUCUGUUGUUGGAGAAGAAUGGUCGGCAGAGUACCUGUUGUCGGCGUGACGGUAUCCAACCAGAAAGCCACGGCUAACUACGUGCCAGCAGCCGCGGUAAUACGUAGGUGGCAAGCGUUAUCCGGAUUUAUUGGGCGUAAAGCGAGCGCAGGCGGUUUUUUAAGUCUGAUGUGAAAGCCCUCGGCUUAACCGAGGAAGUGCAUCGGAAACUGGGAAACUUGAGUGCAGAAGAGGACAGUGGAACUCCAUGUGUAGCGGUGAAAUGCGUAGAUAUAUGGAAGAACACCAGUGGCGAAGGCGGCUGUCUGGUCUGUAACUGACGCUGAGGCUCGAAAGCAUGGGUAGCGAACAGGAUUAGAUACCCUGGUAGUCCAUGCCGUAAACGAUGAAUGCUAGGUGUUGGAGGGUUUCCGCCCUUCAGUGCCGCAGCUAACGCAUUAAGCAUUCCGCCUGGGGAGUACGACCGCAAGGUUGAAACUCAAAGGAAUUGACGGGGGCCCGCACAAGCGGUGGAGCAUGUGGUUUAAUUCGAAGCAACGCGAAGAACCUUACCAGGUCUUGACAUCUUUUGAUCACCUGAGAGAUCAGGUUUCCCCUUCGGGGGCAAAAUGACAGGUGGUGCAUGGUUGUCGUCAGCUCGUGUCGUGAGAUGUUGGGUUAAGUCCCGCAACGAGCGCAACCCUUAUGACUAGUUGCCAGCAUUUAGUUGGGCACUCUAGUAAGACUGCCGGUGACAAACCGGAGGAAGGUGGGGAUGACGUCAAAUCAUCAUGCCCCUUAUGACCUGGGCUACACACGUGCUACAAUGGAUGGUACAACGAGUUGCGAGACCGCGAGGUCAAGCUAAUCUCUUAAAGCCAUUCUCAGUUCGGACUGUAGGCUGCAACUCGCCUACACGAAGUCGGAAUCGCUAGUAAUCGCGGAUCAGCACGCCGCGGUGAAUACGUUCCCGGGCCUUGUACACACCGCCCGUCACACCAUGAGAGUUUGUAACACCCGAAGCCGGUGGCGUAACCCUUUUAAAGAGCGAGCCGUCUAAGGUGGGACAAAUGAUUAGGGUGAAGUAG
rnacentral:rRNA from 1 species